rnacentral:rRNA from 1 species
UACAGAGGUCUCAAGCGUUGUCCGGAAUCAUUGGGCGUAAAGCGCGUGUAGGCGGUCCGGUAAGUCCGCUGUGAAAGUCCGGGGGCUCAACCCGUGGGAUGCCGGUGGAUACGUAGUCGGGCUCGAGGUCCGAAGAGGAGUGUGGAAUUCCUGGUGUAGCGGUGAAAUGCGCAGAUAUCAGGAGGAACACCAAGUGGCGAAGGCAGCACUCUGGGACGUGACUGACGCUGAGAGCGAAAGCGUGGGGAGCAAACAGG